GCGCGUGUAGCAAUACACGAGCGGCGAACGGGUGAGUAACGGGUGGAUAACCUACCUCUCCGGUGGGGAAUAACGGCGGGAAACUGCCGCUAAUACCGCAUACGGUUGCCUGUCAUUGGACGGGUAAAGAAAGGGGCUUCACAGCCUCGCCGGGAGAUGGGUCCGCCUCCGAUUAGCUAGUUGGUGGGGUAAUGGCCUACCAAGGCAACGAUCGGUAGCCGAACUAAGAGGUUGAUCGGCCACACUGGAACUGAGACACGGUCCAGACACCUACGGGUGGCAGCAGUAGGGAAUCUUGCGCAAUGGGCGAAAGCUUGACGCAGCCACGCCGCGUGGAUGAUGAAGGCCUUCGGGUCGUAAAGUCCUUUUCUGAAGGAAGAACAGCCUCGAGAGGAAAUGCUCGAGGGUUGACGGUACUUCAGGAAUAAGCCACGGCUAACUCUGUGCCAGCAGCCGCGGUAAUACAGAGGUGGCAAGCGUUGUUCGGAAUUACUGGGCGUAAAGGGAGCGCAGGCGGCCAGGUCAGUCUGAAGUGCAAGCCCGGGGCUCAACCCCGGAAUUGCUUUGGAUACUGCUUGGCUUGAGUACGUCAGAGGUGAGCGGAAUUCCAGGUGUAGCGGUGAAAUGCGUAGAUAUCUGGAGGAACAUCGGUGGCGAAAGCGGCUCACUGGGACGAAACUGACACUGAGGCUCGAAAGCGUGGGGAGCGAACGGGAUUAGAUACCCUGGUAGUCCACGCCGUAAACUAUGAGUGCUAGUCGUCAGCGGGCAUGCCCGUUGGUGACGCAGCUAACGCAUUAA
rnacentral:rRNA from 1 species